GCGUCGGUAGUGCAACGGUCCAGUACACUCUCCCGGAAAGGGUAAGAUCUGGGUUCGAAUCGCGGCUGACGCA